CCCCCCGCUCGCCCUGUGUCCGCGCCGCGCCCCACCGCCAGGGCUUCAAUUGACCUCACCAAAAUGCCGUCUCAAAUGGAACAGGCCAUGGAAACCAUGAUGUUUACAUUCCACAAAUUUGCUGGGGAUAAAGGCUACUUAACAAAGGAAGACCCGAGAGUACUCAUGGAAAAGGAGUUCCCUGGGUUUUUGGAAAAUCAGAAAGACUCUCUGACUGUGGACAAAAUAAUGAAGGACCUGGACCAACGCCGAGAGGGCAAAGUGGGCUUCCAGAGCUUCUUUUUGCUCAUCGUUGGCCUCACCCCUGCGUGCAACAACUAUUUUGUAGUACACAUGAAACAGAAGGGAAAGAAAUAGACAGAACCAAGCAAUGUCUCUCACCCUGCUAAGAGUUAUCCCAAAGGGUCGCUGAAGGAAUCUGCCCAAAGCUUCCCCCGGUAUAAGGAUUCUGUGAGCCGAUCAGGACCCUUAGAAAAUGUACAAACAAAAUCCAACUCCCAUGUGACAAGCAGAGAAGAAAAGUUAAUUGAAGGCCAGAAAAGCUUUUGAUUUUUGUAUUGUUUGCAUCCUCUUGUCCUCAAUAAAUAAAGUCCUUCUUUAGUUC